rnacentral:lncRNA from 10 species
AAAUUAUGUUCCUCUGACCCUCCUCGCUCUGCACAGAGCUUCAUCUUCUGGAACAGAUCCACCAAACGAGAGCCAGAAGAUGCAGCAGCCCAGGUCUAAUUUGUAUGCAGAGACCCUGGUCAGACAGGCAAAAUAUCUUUGUCCAAAAAACCUCAGAAUUGAAUAUCCAAACCCCUAUCUAGUUAGUGUGCUUCUUAGAAUACAAAUAGAAUUACAAAAUGUUUCAGUAAUCAAAAAGGGACAGCAUCGGCAAACAGUUGACAUCAAAAUUGUCUGCUCAUCAAAGAGGAAUGACAGAUCCUCCUUCAUCAACAUGUUUUCCUUAGGAAUGGUGCCAGGAUGCAGGGCAUAAGUGAGAGGACAGUUCCCUUGGUUAUGAGGUAACUAAAAAUAGCCACCUUUGAAAGCCAUCAGAGGUCACUUGUUUUGAAGAAAAUCAUCAGAAGAACUUUGAACUAUAAGAUAUUGACUAUUAAAUCAUGUUAUUUUCUUCAUUUGUCAAAGUUAUUGGGAUGUAGCAAAUACUUGAGACUUUGAAUUGAGUAGAUUUUGAGUAGAUUUAUGAAUGAAAUCAAAGGACACACAAAAACAGUGUAAUUCACCCAUCUGGAGACUCCACGUAUGAGUUUGAAAACUUUUAGUAUGUAUGCCAAUUAGUCCAUCCAGCCAAAUAGGCACAACAAUUUUCCGAUAAUAAGAAAAAUAAGACCAAGAAGCUAGCUGGAAUACUAAGAAAAACAACAGAGGGAGUUAAAUUCUUCAUUAAAAUUGACCACUUCUAGAGGCCUUGCAGGAAAUAUUAAAAUAAGUUCUUCAAUGAGAAUGAAAAUGAUAUAGGUCAGAAACUUGGAUCUGCAUGAAGAUACACCUUAAAAAAGGAAGAGCAUCAGAAAAAUGAAUAAGUGAAGGUCAAGUGCUGUGCUGUACUGAUUGAUAGAUUGUCUCCAGCAGGAAGUUUGACAAUGGACAACCUAGAAGCAGAUGUGCCUGGUACAUAUCAGGGGUGAUGGAGGUUUCAGGAUUAUGCUGACUGAAAUAUGGAGGCUCUGUAUCUGUAUAUAGAUAAAUGUAAAUGGUAGCUUCUUUGUGGCCCUUCCACCAGAAGUGAAGAAGCCUGGUGCAGAGCUUCUACUUGACCUAUGAUAGAUAUGCUGCUGGAGAAGAAAUCAACCUCCUGGUUCCCACCCAUAUCUUGCUCUGGUUAGUCACAAUCAGAAUCUUCACAACCACAAUCAGAAUCUUCCCACAGCCCUACCUGCAACACCUGCUUGUCUCUGCCAUUACAAUAUAAGGUAUGGUUUGAUUCUCUUAUGUACUGUGUUUGGUGCCCAUGCAGUCCCUCAUGAGUACCAGCUGAUUUUCUUCCGUGUGUGUAUAAACAAUAUCAUGUUCCUUUAAUUCAAAUAAUAAAAAGAUAUAUAAUCAGCACUGAAUCUUUGAGUCACAAGGUUUAACAUAGACUUAUCUGAAUUAUUCUACAUCCUUGUGACUUGGGAGGGGGACAUGUUUAUUACUUUUUCUUUUACAGCUUGAAAGUAUUCUUUUCAAGUGUUCAUUUUGUCCUGUGCAGCAAUCUCUAAUUCACUCCCUACCCAAAGUUGACUAGAAUACUUUAAUCUAUCAUGAUUAAUAUCAAGGAUUCUAUAAUUAAAACACCUCAUUUUGAUGGGUGGUUUCCUCACUUCCUAUCUGUGACGUUGGGCAAGUUACUUAACCUCUCUAAGCUUAUCUGAGCCUAUUUUAUAGCAUGCACCAAAAAGCUAUUACAUUAUGGCCAUUAUUUUUACUGUAGCUCAGCAUAGCUCUGAAGACUGUUAAACAUUUCACUUUUUAUAAUACUGUUUCUUAGACUUUAUUUGAAUAUAAAGUUUAUACCUUCAUUAGAAACAUUAUUAGAUCACUUUAUCAGUCUGCUUGGGCUGCCAUUAAAAACAUACCAUAGACUAGGUGGAUUAAACAACAGAACUUUAUUUCCUUACAGUUCUGGAGGCUGGAAGUCCAAGAUUAGGAUGUCAGCAGGAUUGAUUUAUUCUCAUGCCCUCCCUCCUUAGCAUGUAAAGACUGUCUUUUUGUGGUGUCUUCAUGUGGUCUUUCCUGUGAGUGUCUGUGUCUUAAUCUGCUCUUGUUAUAUGAAGACAAGCCAUAUUAGAAAAAGGCCGGUCCUAAUUACCGCAUUUAAGUGUAAUUACCUCUUUUAGGGCCCUGUCUCCAAAUACAGUCAUAUUCUGAGGUAUUGGGGGUUAGGACUUCAACAUAUCAAUUUUAGGGAGACACAAUUUAGCCCAAAACAAUCAGUAUCUCUGAAAUGUCUAAAUUCAGGAAUUUAAGAUUUUUUUUUUCAUUGAAUAGAAACAAAAUAAAACUAAACAUCAAUGACAAAGAGAGGCAGAGAGAAUAACUACUAAUGUAAAUGUAAUUUUUUUUUCUGCAUUGGCUUCCCUUGUCUCUUCUUUUCAGUGAAGUCAAUGAAGCCGUUGCCCUACAUUUACUUGUAUUAUACCACAGAAAACCUUCCCUUUGAACCCCAGAGCUUAUAUCAAGGCUAGUUUAACUUGAAUAUGACUAAUUUACCAUGUCUCUUAACAGCAGCUUUUACAAUCUGGCACCUGACCCAGAACCUAUUUCUGGAAGAUUUUAACCUAUGUGUAAACAGCACAUAACAGACACUUUCUCUAAGGCCUAUGAAGGAAUAUAUAAAUUGUUCCAUAUUAAUAAUGAUGAUGAUAAUAGCAAAUCCUUCUAUAGUGCUUUCUACAUGCCAGUCACUAUUCUAAGCACUUCACAGGUAUCUGCUCUUUAUUCCUUUUGUGGGCUUUAAAGUUCCUAUUGUUGAGAAAUGCAACAUUAAUUUUUGUACUGUCAAGAGAUUCCAGGAAGAGAAAUUUUAAAAUGCUGUGGCUUUUGUUGACUGUAUGACCAACCUCCUAUCAACUUAAGAAUAUCUUGCGGAAAAAUGUGAGGUUUUAUAAUUUAUUCAUGAGUUUUUAGUCACUUUUAAUUGGAGACAAUGAAGUGGUUAUACCAAAUAAAAGGCCUACAAAUUAAAUUUACAUUUUUCUAGUCAUUAUACUAAUAUAUGCUUAUCAAGUGCUAAACUUUUUAAAUCAUCUGCAGUAAAAUGCUUAGAGAGAGGAGGGUGAUAGUGCUAAAACUGGUUGAAAAUCUGACACAUAUUAGACAUUAAGGUAACAGACUUGUCCAAGGUCACAGAACUAAAACAUGGUGGAGCUCCCUAAUUCCAUGCUACAAUUUUAAGCUAUUGAUAAUAUCCUGCAAGUUGUUUUAUUACAUAUAAAUCCAAGUGGAGACACUUAGAGAAAUUGAUUAAAAGAAAAACUGUUGAGCAUAAUCAAACAGUACUGUUGAAAGGCUGUUUUAUUUUAUUUGCAGAGCAUUUUAUGUUAGCCACUAUCCUGUUAUAAGGACUUGUUCAUUGUGAGUAUGCGGCACUAUAGUAAUUGGUUAUAAAGAAGAAUGUAGAACAGCAGGUGUACAAUAGAAAUUGCUCUUUGUAGUUUAAAUAAAUUUCUAAGAGCUACCAUAUAUUUAAUUCUUAUUCCAUGAUAGGUACAAGGACUUAGAUUUCUUAAAUCUCAUGCAAAUAAGUACUUUUAAAACCAAUUUUCAGGCUGGACACAGUGGCUCACACCUGUAAUCCCAGCACUUUGGGAGACCUAAGUGGGAGGAUCAUCUGAGGUCAGGUGUUCAAGACCAGCCUGGCCAACAUGGUGAAACCUUAUCUCUACUAAAAAUACAAAAAUUAGCUGGGUGUGUUGGCAUGCACCUGUAAGCCCAGCUACUUGGGAGGCUGAGGCAGAAGAAUUGCUUGAACCUGGGAGGCAUAGGUUGCAGUGAGCCAAGAUUGUGCCACUGCACCCCAGCCUGGGCAACUGAGUAAGACUCUCACUCAAAAACAGAAACAAAAACCAAAGCAAACAAGAAAAAACAAUUUUCUAUGUCUAUGUUGGAUAAAUUUAAAUUUAUUUACUUUCAUAUCAAAACAAACACCUUAAUUUGGGACUAAUGUAAUAGUUUGUAAUUGAUUUUAACCUCCUCCAAAAGAUACUGUAAGAAUAACUCGUAUAUUAAUCAUCCUAAAAUAUAAAAUGUGGUGUCAUUUUCCAGUUUUUAAGAUUUCAUCGUCCUAGGAAUUCAAGUCCAGGCAGCACCGAAUGUCUCUUAACCUUAGUCCACUUAUCUUUCAUGCCUUGGGGCCCACUGUUUCACUUGGUUUCAAAAAAACAACCUGGCUCAGUGUAUUAUUGUAGAUUCCCUAGAGAAAUCCAUCUGCUUUUUCCUCUCUUUUUUCUCACAUGAUUGUCUUGCCUCACAGACCCUUCCAUCAUCUUCCAAGUGAGGAAACCUAUUGAGGUAUCAAGGGCCAACUUCAAUGAAAACUUCCCCGACUUCCUCUGAAUGGAUUUGAGCUCCUCUUCUAAAUUCCUCUAGCUCUUAGUUGUUAUAUGCUAAUAAUAUUGAUCACAUACUAAAGCAUCUCAUUACAUUUCAGUGCAGAAAUAAUCCUGCUUAUUAUCAUAUAGAUCCUAUCAUAUAGAUCUAUAGAUCAUUAAGCACUGUGUCUGUUACACAAAGGAAAUUUUUGAUAAAUAUUUCUGGGGAAAAGGCAAUCAGAAAAUGGGAAGUAAUAAAAGAAUGACAUUUGGUGCUGUGUCCUUCCUCUUAUUUCUAAAAUAAAAUACAUAAAAAUUUGGUUUUUGCUAACAUAACCAUCUGAAGUGAUAUGACAGGCCUUUGGCUAACUAUCUAAUGAUAUACUAGCAAUUCACAAAAAUUUGGGGAAAAUGAACAUAUAUUCACUAAUUCACAAGUAGUCACCCAUGCUAGAUUAGAAGAUGAAGAAUUGAGUAAAAAGUGGAACCUAUUUUAAUUAUGUUACAGCCUACUGAUAAAUAAAUAAUCCCAGUAUGGAGUGGUAAGUCCCAUAAUAAAUAUCUACAGAGAGGUCUCUGGAAGCACAAGGAAGGACCGUCUGGGUUUGACAGGGGAUAUUAGAAAAAGUUUCAAAGAACACAUGACAUUUGUUCAAAAUCUUGAAGGAUGGAGAUGAGUUUGCCAAGCAGAAAAGAAUAAAACAUUAUUUUAUCACUUGAGAAAGGGCCUGCCCAUAGUUGGUAAAUUCAGGAUGUGAUAUUUGGAGAGAGAGGAUAUUAUGGGGUGAGAAAGGAAGGGAGUAGCCAUGUUGGGGAGGAAUCAGAGAGCCAUGCUAACAAGUUUAACUUUAAUUGCAUGCAAGACUGACAGCCAUUAAAAGGUUUUAGGCAGGAAAGUGAUGUGAUCAGAGCUACAGUAUGCUGAAGAAUAAAUUAAUGUGAUGAGCCAAAAUCAGAUGCAGGGAGGUUACGGGACUGCAGCAAAGCUUCAGGGAAAGGCAGUAGUAAUAGGAUGUGCAGGAAAAAGUAAUGCAGAUUGCAGAAACUUAAAAUGGGUGAAAGAAAGAGAGAGAGGCAAAAGAUUGACUGUGGCUUACAGUUUUUGAUAAAUAAUAAUGCCAAAAAUCAAGAUCUGGAUUAAGAGGGAGAUCUAGUGUGAGGAAGAAAGAAAAUCAGUUAGCAUUGCAGGUUUUUAUCUGAUUCUGUAAAAUCAACAACUGUCCAGUAAGCAGUUAUAAAUAUUUUUCUGGCAUGAGUUGAGACUCAGCUAAAGAUAUAUAUUCCAAAACCAAUAGUUUAAGCGUGGAGGUAAAAACCUCCAUGCAUAGAGGUAUAUGAAAUUGGCUAUGGACAUUUUUGAGAGAGAAAAGGGCUAAGUAUAGAGUCCACAAAGAAGACUAAAAGGAAGGUUUUGAACUCAGCUGAAAACUAAGGAAAAAAUAUUGUCAUGAGAAAGAGUGAAGACAGUUUUAAAGAGAAUGUGCUAUGGUUUGGAUGUGGAUUGCCCUCAUCAAAAUUCAUGUUGAAAUUUGAUCCCCAAAAUGUCAGUGUUAGGAGGCAGGACCUAAUGGGAGGUAUUUGGUUCAUGUAGGUGGAUCCCUCAUGAAUAGAUUAAUGCUUUCUCCCAGGAGUGAGUUCUUUCUUUCAAGGGAAUGGAUUAGUUUCCACAAGAGCAGGUUGUUAAAAAGAGUUUGCUUCAUCUGUUUCUCUCUCUUGCUUUCUCUCUUGUCUUGCAAUCUCUGCACAUGCCUGCCCCUCUUCCAUUAUCUUCCAUGAGUGGAAUCAGCCUGAGGACCUCAACAGAUGCACCUGCCCAAUCUUAAACUUUCCAGCAAUCUGAAUUGUGAGCCAAAUAAUUUUUUUAUAAAUUAUCCAGCUUCAAGUAUUAUACCAACAAAAAAAAGGUAAGCAACAAAAAAUCAAGUGAGACAAAAAGUCUCCAUAGUUCUUGAUACCAUGAAACAUACAAAGGAAGAAUUAGGAAGAUACAAAGGGAAGACAAGGGCUUCAAGGACACUUUUACAGGUGAUAUAUACAUAUAGACUCUCAACUGUGAUUAUGAUUUUACAGGUAUAUGCAUAUGCUCAAACUAAUCUAAUUGUAUACAUACAUUUAGUUUUAUAUGUUUGAUAUGUGAAGUUCUGAAUAUCAAUCAUACAUCGAUAAAGCUGCUUAAAAAAUAAAAAUAAAAAAUAGAAGCAUACAACAAGUCAACUGGCACUUAAAUUAGAUAGUGGAAUUCUGUGUGUCACUUAAUCUUUAUCACUUAUUUUAAAUUUAAAGUCAUAUUAUUGUCUGUAUCUAGACCAAGAACUUUUCAUAAGACAAGAUGUACUAUUACAUCUUGUAUAUAUAAAUGUAUAUAUAAAAAUUCAGCAGAGAACAUUUAUCAUGUAUCUAUUUCCUAUAGACUUCUGGACAUUUGGAGGUAUUUUAGAAAAAAUAUAAUAGUCACAAACUCAAUUCAAAAGAAGUUAUUAUUCAUUAAAAAACUCUCCUAUUUUUUCCAUGUGGCAUGGUAAUUUAGUUUGUAUCAAGAAGCUCUGAUAUAGGGUCCAUUUACUUCAUCAAGCAUCUAACUAGCAUCUAAAAAUGGAUGCUUUCUGUCCUUCACACAAUUGAACUUAUCUGUGGCAACCGUCAAUCUUCCUAAGGUGGCUCCCAGGAGACUACCAAUCGUCACACAAAGCAGAGCCCCAGAAGUCUUUGUGUGCUACUAACUGAUCAGAUUAUGUUAUUUAUUCCUGUCAUUCUCCAUUUCUUUCACUGCUACUGACCGUAUAAUAGGCUGGCAGACAGCUCUGCAUUUAUCACUCCUCCAUCUAUAAGAAAAAGGAUCAUAAUUUAGAGUAACUCAUGUAACUGGUACGAUGAAUUUCACAGGGGUUUGCUUGACUCCGUUUUACUGAUUCUAACAUUCAUAUUGGUCUGAACCACCCCUUUAUUCCUAGGAACUUUUCAGUGUAUGUGGAGGAUCUUCAUAUUUUCUUAUGCAACACAAGCCAAGUCUCCACGAUGUGCAUGAAAAAUUAUAAUAUAUCUCUAUUGUUGUUUUUUUUUGUGUUUAACUCAGUGAGCUAUAUAAAUUUUUUUCAUUUGAAGAUAAUAUUCUAUUUUUUUAAGCUGAAGAAACUUCAAACUACAACUUGUGAAAUGUUAUUACUUCAGUGAAACUCAUUUAUUCUUAUUAUUCCAUAUUUUUUUUUUUUUUUGGGACGGAGUCUAGCUCUGGCGCCAGGCUGGAGUGCAGUGGCAUGAUCUUGGCUCACUGCAACCUCCACCUCCUGGGUUCAAGUGAUUCUCCUGCCUCAGCCUCACAAGUAGCUGGGAUUACAGGUGUGCACCACCACACCCAGCUAAUUUUUGUAUUAUUAGUAGAGAUGGGGUUUCACCAUGUUGGCCAGGAUGGUCUCAAUCUCUUGACGUCGUGACCCACCUGCCUUAUCCUCCAAAAGUGCUGAGAUUAUAGGCAUGAGCCACAAGCCCAGCCGACAUUAUUUUUUAUAUCGUAAUUGCUCUCCAGAGCUUUAUACAAGCAGGAAUCAGACUCUGCAUGCUUAAAGCCAAAAUAUGCCUUCCAAAUAUGUGCAUGUGUGUGUGUGUGUUUGUGGGUGAGUGAGUGUGUGAGCCACUUCUGAGCAAAGUGGCGGACUGGAUGGUUGAUCUACUUAUCCACUUAUGGCCACAUUAAUUAUACUUCAACCCCUUGUUUUGUUCAUGUGUGCCAGGAAAUGCAAUGAGUCAAUAUACUUACUGAGAUUGCAGAAGAGACUGAACACUGCGCUAGGCUCUGAAGAGAAAGAUGAAAAAGAAGAAAGUGCUCCUGAGUAUAUGACUACUUGUACUUGCUAGCACUGAGGCAAGUACAAACUCUAGGCAUCAGGCUUUUGGUCUCACUCUUAGCGAAUUUGAACACUGGCUUUUUUGUUGGGCUUCCAUUCUUCUCUCAGCGCAAGAAUACCAACGUUUAUGACCCAGGAAGCACCAACUUAUACUUCACAGAGCUAAGAAACAGCAUUUCGCCAUGUCACGCAGGCUGGUCUUCAACUCCUGGACUCAAGCUAUCCACGGGCCUCGGCCUCCCAAAGUGCUAGGAUUACAGGCAUGAGCCACUAUGUCCGGCUUGGAGUUUUUAGUCUCAUCAAACCAACUCACCCAAAUGUCCCUUGGUGACAAAAAGUUUUCUGAAAGAUUAAGUAAUCUUUGUUUCCCAAGCCUGACAAAAUAAAAAGUUUUCUGUCUCUCUCUUUCUCUUUUGCACUGUUUCUCUUUAAGUCUUGUUAGAAUACAGAACUGUAGACAUUUAGACAGAGCCAGGGUCAUUGUCUUGACUGGCCCACUGACCAGAUUAGUAAUUCUUAAACUAGGGUCCCUAGACCAGCACCACAGGCAUCUGUGGGCUUGUUAGAAAUGCACAUCCUUGGACCACUGAAUCAGAUAUUUUGAGAGUGGGCUCAAUAAUCUCUGUUUUGAGAAGACCCCCAAGUAAACCUGAUGCACAGUAAUUGUUGAGAAACACUGAAUAAAUUGUAUACCAUUAGCCUGUUUUUAAAAAUCAUCUGAGCCAUUCCUUUAUUAUAUGAGAUGACCAUUAAAAUCUCACUCAGUUUUAUCAUAUAAUGAAACAUUUGGUGAUAGCAUAAAACUCUAUUUUGAUGGCUCAGUUUUUAUGAUUUCCUUUGAUAUAAUUGUUUCCUUAAGAAGGUGCCAGUUUUGAAAAGGAAACUGUUUUGUUCCCUUUUGUACAGCACAAGCUAAGGAUCUAUGAUGGAAUGAUAAUUAAUCUGUAAACUAUAAUUAUGUUGUCGAUUCUGGCUGUAUAUGGGGCAUACCUGAUUCAUCUGCUACUUGAUGUCCUGCAUGACCAUCACCAGACACCAAGCAGCAGAACAAGACCAUGGACCACAGAGUCCUGGAAAUGUCUACCUCCUGAGCUGAGCCACCACCAGGAAUGGUGUCAGUAAAUGCAUGAGCACCAGAGUAUUUUGAAUGAAAGGAAAAAAGUGCAAUUCAGGAUAUGACUCCCUACCCCAGCCUACUAGCAGAUCCCAAAUGUUGUCAUAAUCCAGUAAAAUAUAACACUACCAAGUUGUGAGGCACUGAGAAACCAUUGCAGGUGAUAGCCAACUGUGUGUUCCCAACUCUGAGCAGUUCUGCCUGUCAGAAUCUUCCCAUCUCAGUCCCCACCCACCUCUUCAGCCUCAUGUUUCCUCAAGCCUUUCUUCAGAUUGACCACACUUCACUUCUGUGUCUACGAGGAUUUGCCUUGUCACUAAAAUUGUUAUGUUACAAUAGGGCCCCAUAUCCAUUAGGUAAUUGGCUUUGUCAUCACCUUCACUUCUAGUUACUUUCUUGGAAUGUUAAAUGAAACAUUCUUGCCUUAAUAGUAACAUCAGUUCCUACAUAUCUUCCUUGUGUGUGUUUGGUUGGCUGAUUGUCACUUUCUACUCUGAAUGUUGAAUCAGACUGCCACUUUCUACUCUGAAUGUUGAAUCACCUUCUUGCUCUGCCCUCUACUUGCAUUUUCUUGUCUACUUACCUGUCCACUUAUCUUUUGAUCUUUUUGCCUCCCCUUCUUUGGGCAUCCCUGUCCUUCAGCUUGCCUGGAUAUGACUUCUAGCCUUGUGUGAUCUUGGAUAUGUGUGCGUAGCCCAAAGUUAUACCAUUCAACAGACUCCAAUGUCAUUAAAGGGAUCUUGUUCCACCAUGUAUUUUUCUGCCUUUUCCCCUAAAUUACCAAAAUUUUUGGCCUGUUAACAUUUCUGUCUCUGUAUACAGAUCAUAGUCCUUUAAUGUACUUUACUACAUGCAGAAAUUCUAUUGAUUUGGAUUCAAGUCUUUCAUAUUUGGCAUUGCUUUGCAAUUCACUUGCUCUUUUAUAGACCCAUUUUGACAGUUCUCAAGAAGGCUGGUGAAACAAGCCUGGCUGUGAUUUGGGCUGCAAUUCUUUCUUUCUCUCCGUGAGAAAUCUUUGUAGCACUGUAGUCAAAGCUGCAUACAGAAUUGUCUGACCAGCUGCUGUCCAUGGAUAGAGCCAAGGCACCAGGCUGACCUCAUACCUAAGAAGCAGUUAUUCAGAAGUUGUACAUGAUUAUCAAAGAUGGAAUUUAUCUCUACCUAGGGCUAAAAGUUUAGGCAGUUCUGUACUGAUUACUUUUUUCAGUCACAUCAAACUCAUCCUCAUACAGAAUAAAAUAAAAUAAGUUUUUCGUGUGCCUGUCUUGCUUUGGGAAAUGAAGAAAUGAGAGUAAGUAUCAUCUUGUUUAUGAAGAGCAAAUACUAUGAUUAAAAAUCAAGAUUAAAAACCUCACACUGUUCAGGACAACUGGAUCACAAGAAUAUUUUGGUUUCAAGUAUCACUGAAUUUUAUUAAUCUCUCUAAGAAAACUUUAUACAAAUAAUAAUUAAGCCUUGGAUUUGCUGAAUGGAUGUUGGAAAAUAGUAAGGUAAAGAGAGGCCAGCAAUCUCUUUUGAACUACUAGCCUUCUGGACCAGUGUGACUCUGCCUUUGAUGAGGAGUACAGGAGGAGGAGAAAGACUUUUAAGAAGAUUGAGCACUUGUCAUAAAACAAGACUGCUAGGGACAUACAUAGCAUGGUUGAAAAAAUGACUUUUGGAGUCUCACUAUGGUCUGUACUAGCGCUAACAACAAAUGAAAAUACAAUGUGGGCCAAUUUGUAAUGUUUAAUGUUCUAAUAGCCACAUUAAUAUAUGUGAAUAAUCUGAUAAAAUUAAUUUCAACAAUAUAUUUUAUUUACCCAAAUAUGGAUGAAAUUAUUAUCCAACAUAUAAUCAAUGUAAAAUGUUUUUAAUGAAAUACUUUCAUUUAAAAAAAUUUGAACUAAGUUUUUGAAAUCCAGUAUGCAUUUUAAACUUGCAGCACAUCUCAGUUCAGACUAACUAUAACUCAAGUACUCAAUAGCACCUGUAGCCAGGGGCUCCCCUAUUGAACAGUGUAAUUUUGGUCCCAUAGCAUCCUCCAUUGACCAAGCAAUGAAGAAAAAAGUCCAACUAUGGUCCAGGAAAAAUAUCCAGUGCUGGCUGUGUCUAUAUUCUAAUAGUGAAUGCAUAGGUCAUCAUACAUAGUACAUGAUAAGCACUAGGAAUUGGGAAGACAAUAGUUAACGUCAUAUCUCUAUUUUGCAAUAGAACUCUAUAAACAGACAUCUUGAUGUUACAAAUUUUCUAUGUGGUUGAUGAUGUAGUUAAGUUAGGAAAAGUAGAGCCAAGCCGUGCCUCCAGAGAUAAGUCUUUUAGUUAACUUGAUCCUCUGGAAAAACAUUCUCUAUGAUGAAAGCUCAAAUGGUUCUUGCCCAUGUCUAAUACAUUGUGAGGUUUGGCUCUAUGUCCCCACCCAAUCUCAUGUUGAAUUGUAAUCCCCAUGUAUUGGAGGAAGGGCCUGGUGGGAGGUGAUUGGAUCAUGGGAGCGGAUUUCCCCCUUGCUGUUCUUGUGAUGGUCAGUGAGUUCUCAUGAGAUCUGAUGGUUUAAAAAUGUGUAGCACUUCCCUGUUUGCUCCCUCACUCUCCUGCAACCAUGUGAAGAAUGUGCCUUGCUUUCCCUUUGCCUUCUGCCAUGAUUGUAAGUUUCCUCAGGCUUCCCAGCCAUGCUUCCUGUUAAGCCUAUGGAACUGUGACUCAAUUAAACCUCUUUUC